rnacentral:rRNA from 1 species
AGAUACCCCACUAUGCUCAGCCGUAAACCUUAAAUUACAUCGAAAUCGCCAGGGAACUACGAGCCAUGCUUAAAACCCAAAGGACUUGACGGUACCCCAUAUCCACCUAGAGGAGCCUGUCCUGUAAUCGAUAAUCCCCGCUAAACCUCACCCCUUCUAGCUUCUCAGCCUGUAUACUUCCGUCGCCAGCCCACCACGUGAGCGCCACUCAGUAGGCACCCCCCGCUAAAUUCGCAAAAACAUCAGGUCAAGGUGCAGCAAAUGAAGGGGAAAGAGAUGGGCUACAUUCUCUAAUAUAGAGUACACGAAUAACUGCAUAUGAAACCCAGUUUGAAGGCGGAUUUAGAAGUAAAGAGAAAUCAAAGAGUCCUCUUUAACUCGGCGCUGGGGUGUGUACACACCGCCCGUCACCCUCCUCGAAGCUACCAAACAGUAACUAACAACUAAUUGCAUAAGAGAGGAGGCAAGUCGUAACA